rnacentral:rRNA from 1 species
CUUCCGUAGGUGAACCUGCGGAGGGAUCAUUACUGAGUGAGGGCCUUCGGGCUCGACCUCCAACCCUUUGUGAACACAACUUGUUGCUUCGGGGGCGACCCUGCCGUUUCGACGGCGAGCGCCCCCGGAGGCCUUCAAACACUGCAUCUUUGCGUCGGAGUUUAAGUAAAUUAAACAAAACUUUCAACAACGGAUCUCUUGGUUCUGGCAUCGAUGAAGAACGCAGCGAAAUGCGAUAAGUAAUGUGAAUUGCAGAAUUCAGUGAAUCAUCGAAUCUUUGAACGCACAUUGCGCCCUCUGGUAUUCCGGAGGGCAUGCCUGUUCGAGCGUCAUUUCACCACUCAAGCCUGGCUUGGUAUUGGGCGCCGCGGUGUUCCGCGCGCCUCAAAGUCUCCGGCUGAGCUGUCCGUCUCCAAGCGUUGUGAUUUCAUUAAUCGCUUCGGAGUGCGGGUGGCCGCGGCCGUUAAAUCUUUCACAAGGUGACCUCGGAUCAGGUACGAUCCCACUCC